UUUUGGACAAUGGGCGCAAGCCUGAUCCAGCAAUGCCGCGUGCAGGAUGAAGGCCUUCGGGUUUUAAACUGCUUUUGUACGGAACGAAAAGCCAUGGGUUAAUACCCUGUUGUCAUGACGGUACCGUAAGCAUAAGCACCGGCUAACUACGUUCCCGCACCCGCGGUAAUACGUAGGGUGCAAGCGUUAAGCGGAAUUACUGGGCGUAAAGCGUGCGCAGGCCGUUUUGUAAGACAGAGGUGAAAUCCCCGGGCUCAACCUGGGAACUGCCUUUGUGACUGCAAGGCUAGAGUACGGCAGAGGGGAAUGGAAUUCCGCGUGUAGCAGUGAAAUGCGUAGAUAUGCGGAGGAACACCGAUGGCGAAGGCAAUCCCCUGGGCCUGUACUGACGCUCAUGCACGAAAGCGUGGGGAGCAAACAGG
rnacentral:rRNA from 1 species